CCUACGGGAGGCAGCAGUGAGGAAUAUUGGUCAAUGGGCGCGAGCCUGAACCAGCCAAGUCGCGUGAGGGAGGACGGCCCUACGGGUUGUAAACCUCUUUUGCCGGGGAGCAACGGGCGUCACGUGUGGCGCCACUGAGAGUACCCGGAGAAAAAGCAUCGGCUAACUCCGUGCCAGCAGCCGCGGUAAUACGGAGGAUGCGAGCGUUAUCCGGAUUUAUUGGGCGUAAAGAGGGAGCAGGCGGCCUGGAGGGUCUAUUGUUAAAAGGCAAUGGCUUAACCAUUGUAAGGCGAAGAAACCGGCAGGCUUGAGUUCUAGAGAGGAACGUGGAAUUCGAUGUGUAGCGGUGAAAUGCGUAGAUAUAUGGAAGAACACCAGUGGCGAAGGCAGCGAUCUGGGAAGAAACAGACGCUGAGGCCCGAAAGCGUGGGGAGCGAAUAGGAUUAGAUACCCUAGUAGUC
rnacentral:rRNA from 1 species